UUAAGCGACUAAGCGUACACGGUGGAUGCCCUGGCAGUCAGAGGCGAUGAAGGACGUGCUAAUCUGCGAUAAGCGUCGGUAAGGUGAUAUGAACCGUUAUAACCGGCGAUUUCCGAAUGGGGAAACCCAGUGUGUUUCGACACACUAUCAUUAACUGAAUCCAUAGGUUAAUGAGGCGAACCGGGGGAACUGAAACAUCUAAGUACCCCGAGGAAAAGAAAUCAACCGAGAUUCCCCCAGUAGCGGCGAGCGAACGGGGAGCAGCCCAGAGCCUGAAUCAGUGUGUGUGUUAGUGGAAGCGUCUGGAAAGGCGCGCGAUACAGGGUGACAGCCCCGUACACAAAAAUGCACAUGCUGUGAGCUCGAUGAGUAGGGCGGGACACGUGGUAUCCUGUCUGAAUAUGGGGGGACCAUCCUCCAAGGCUAAAUACUCCUGACUGACCGAUAGUGAACCAGUACCGUGAGGGAAAGGCGAAAAGAACCCCGGCGAGGGGAGUGAAAAAGAACCUGAAACCGUGUACGUACAAGCAGUGGGAGCACGCUUAGGCGUGUGACUGCGUACCUUUUGUAUAAUGGGUCAGCGACUUAUAUUCUGUAGCAAGGUUAACCGAAUAGGGGAGCCGAAGGGAAACCGAGUCUUAACUGGGCGUUAAGUUGCAGGGUAUAGACCCGAAACCCGGUGAUCUAGCCAUGGGCAGGUUGAAGGUUGGGUAACACUAACUGGAGGACCGAACCGACUAAUGUUGAAAAAUUAGCGGAUGACUUGUGGCUGGGGGUGAAAGGCCAAUCAAACCGGGAGAUAGCUGGUUCUCCCCGAAAGCUAUUUAGGUAGCGCCUCGUGAAUUCAUCUCCGGGGGUAGAGCACUGUUUCGGCAAGGGGGUCAUCCCGACUUACCAACCCGAUGCAAACUGCGAAUACCGGAGAAUGUUAUCACGGGAGACACACGGCGGGUGCUAACGUCCGUCGUGAAGAGGGAAACAACCCAGACCGCCAGCUAAGGUCCCAAAGUCAUGGUUAAGUGGGAAACGAUGUGGGAAGGCCCAGACAGCCAGGAUGUUGGCUUAGAAGCAGCCAUCAUUUAAAGAAAGCGUAAUAGCUCACUGGUCGAGUCGGCCUGCGCGGAAGAUGUAACGGGGCUAAACCAUGCACCGAAGCUGCGGCAGCGACGCUGAUGCGUUGUUGGGUAGGGGAGCGUUCUGUAAGCCUGCGAAGGUGUGCUGUGAGGCAUGCUGGAGGUAUCAGAAGUGCGAAUGCUGACAUAAGUAACGAUAAAGCGGGUGAAAAGCCCGCUCGCCGGAAGACCAAGGGUUCCUGUCCAACGUUAAUCGGGGCAGGGUGAGUCGACCCCUAAGGCGAGGCCGAAAGGCGUAGUCGAUGGGAAACAGGUUAAUAUUCCUGUACUUGGUGUUACUGCGAAGGGGGGACGAAGAAGGCUAUGUUGGCCGGGCGACGGUUGUCCCGGUUUAAGCGUGUAGGCUGGUUUUCCAGGCAAAUCCGGAAAAUCAAGGCUGAGGCGUGAUGACGAGGCACUACGGUGCUGAAGCAACAAAUGCCCUGCUUCCAGGAAAAGCCUCUAAGCAUCAGGUAACAUCAAAUCGUACCCCAAACCGACACAGGUGGUCAGGUAGAGAAUACCAAGGCGCUUGAGAGAACUCGGGUGAAGGAACUAGGCAAAAUGGUGCCGUAACUUCGGGAGAAGGCACGCUGAUAUGUAGGUGAGGUCCCUCGCGGAUGGAGCUGAAAUCAGUCGAAGAUACCAGCUGGCUGCAACUGUUUAUUAAAAACACAGCACUGUGCAAACACGAAAGUGGACGUAUACGGUGUGACGCCUGCCCGGUGCCGGAAGGUUAAUUGAUGGGGUUAGCGCAAGCGAAGCUCUUGAUCGAAGCCCCGGUAAACGGCGGCCGUAACUAUAACGGUCCUAAGGUAGCGAAAUUCCUUGUCGGGUAAGUUCCGACCUGCACGAAUGGCGUAAUGAUGGCCAGGCUGUCUCCACCCGAGACUCAGUGAAAUUGAACUCGCUGUGAAGAUGCAGUGUACCCGCGGCAAGACGGAAAGACCCCGUGAACCUUUACUAUAGCUUGACACUGAACAUUGAGCCUUGAUGUGUAGGAUAGGUGGGAGGCUUAGAAGUGUGGACGCCAGUCUGCAUGGAGCCGACCUUGAAAUACCACCCUUUAAUGUUUGAUGUUCUAACGUUGACCCGUAAUCCGGGUUGCGGACAGUGUCUGGUGGGUAGUUUGACUGGGGCGGUCUCCUCCUAAAGAGUAACGGAGGAGCACGAAGGUUGGCUAAUCCUGGUCGGACAUCAGGAGGUUAGUGCAAUGGCAUAAGCCAGCUUGACUGCGAGCGUGACGGCGCGAGCAGGUGCGAAAGCAGGUCAUAGUGAUCCGGUGGUUCUGAAUGGAAGGGCCAUCGCUCAACGGAUAAAAGGUACUCCGGGGAUAACAGGCUGAUACCGCCCAAGAGUUCAUAUCGACGGCGGUGUUUGGCACCUCGAUGUCGGCUCAUCACAUCCUGGGGCUGAAGUAGGUCCCAAGGGUAUGGCUGUUCGCCAUUUAAAGUGGUACGCGAGCUGGGUUUAGAACGUCGUGAGACAGUUCGGUCCCUAUCUGCCGUGGGCGCUGGAGAACUGAGGGGGGCUGCUCCUAGUACGAGAGGACCGGAGUGGACGCAUCACUGGUGUUCGGGUUGUCAUGCCAAUGGCACUGCCCGGUAGCUAAAUGCGGAAGAGAUAAGUGCUGAAAGCAUCUAAGCACGAAACUUGCCCCGAGAUGAGUUCUCCCUGACCCUUUAAGGGUCCUGAAGGAACGUUGAAGACGACGACGUUGAUAGGCCGGGUGUGUAAGCGCAGCGAUGCGUUGAGCUAACCGGUACUAAUGAACCGUGAGGCUUAACCUU
rnacentral:rRNA from 1 species